GAGAGCCGCCAGACCUGGGUCGGUGCCGCCUGGCGGUCGGGGCCGGGACCUAGGGAGGGGCGGGCCACCCAGAAUCGCCGGGCGGCGGGAUGGGUGGCGAUGGCCUGGCGCCCUUCUUGCUCUUCUUCUCGCGCUUUCCCGGCUUUCGCGGGUUCUCCCCGCCGGCGUCCCACCCCUCUGCACGCCGGGCCUCGGUGGCGUUGCCCGGCGGAGCCCGGGGCCGGGCGGGCGCACAGGCCGGCCGAGCUUCACCGGCAGGCGGCGCUGCGCCCGCGCUCUGCGGCCUGGGGCGGCCCUGCCGGGCUUCUGCGUGGGGCUGCUGCAGCGGUGCCUGCACCCGGUGUGCGGGACACGGAUGGCGCCCCGGCCAGGAGCCUCAGCCGCGCGGAGUCUGCGCCCCCGGGAGACGCCUGCCCCGCGGCUGGCUGGAGGCCGGACCACCGCGCUGUCAGCAGAAGGUCUUCAGCCCAUCGAUUUCGCUGCCCUGUGCGCUACUCAACGUUUACAAAACAGUCCGCACUGGGAUUUGUUUUUCAAAAUGUGCUUUCUUCUGGGCUACCGAAAAUUAAAGCUACUACACAUUCCUUGCUGAUGCGCCACUAGGACUGUGUGACAUCUGAGCUCUGGACUUACUGAGGUGCUGCCUGGCCGUAUGGUUUCACCAGCAGCUGGAGUGCUCAACACAGUCCUCUUGUUCCUCUGAAAUGGCCACUGGGCUUCAGUUUGCUUCCAUUCUCCUGGCCCCAAGGGCUCACCUCUUUUAUGACUGACCUUAUUCCUGUGGUGGCCACUGCCUUCCACUGUGAGGGCCAGGUGAUUUCUCAGCCUGCCACGGGCCACCAGCCCUAUUGCCAAGCCUCUGACAUUCCCUGUGCAACCACUCCAUCACCCAGGUAACCACAGCCUGACAGCAGGUGGGUCAGGUGGGUCAGGGAAGGCAGGGUCCUGGUCCCUGCCCUUCAGGGUCCUGCUCUAAGCUUUAAAGGGGAAAGAAAGCAGAACAAGUGAGCAUAAGACUACAUGGAAAGAGAAGUGGUUCCCUGACAGCACUCAAGAUUCCUUCUCAUGGGCCUCUGAGGUCAGAGCCCAGGUGCUCUAAGCAUUUAUGGAGCUCAGUCUGGAGUUUCUAAUUCCAUAAUUCCAAAAACAGUUUUGAAGAAGCUUUUUUUUUUCUCCAUUAUGUAAGGUCCUUGGUAAGCAUCUGGAAGGCCAUCUUAAAUGACAGCCCCCCUUUUAAGAAGAAUUUUACUUUCCCACCCAAGGGCUUUUCUGAGAAAGGCUCACUUCUCCCUCAUACCAACCCCACCCUUCACCACUGGCAUGAGGACUGGCCUGGCUCUAAUCCCUGAGCCUGCCCCAUAAAAGUCCCAAACCCAGGCCUGUUUUGCCUCUCUCCAUCUAUGGAGAGAUGGCCUUUAUUUAUUUAUUUAUGGAGAGAUGGCUCUGAUAAAUAAACUCUCGUGUGUGUCUCUG